AGAGUUUGAUCCUGGCUCAGAUUGAACGCUGGCGGCAUGCUUUACACAUGCAAGUCGAACGGGGUGGCGGGGCAACUCGCCAUUCAGUGGCGAACGGGUGAGUAAUGCAUCGGAACGUGUCCCGUAGUGGGGGAUAACGCCGCGAAAGCGGCGCUAAUACCGCAUACGCUCUGAGGAGGAAAGCAGGGGACCCGCAAGGGCCUUGUGCUAGGGGAGCGGCCGAUGUCCGAUUAGCUAGUUGGUGGGGUAACGGCCUACCAAGGCUGCGAUCGGUAGCUGGUCUGAGAGGAUGAUCAGCCACACUGGGACUGAGACACGGCCCAGACUCCUACGGGAGGCAGCAGUGGGGAAUUUUGGACAAUGGGGGCAACCCUGAUCCAGCCAUGCCGCGUGCGGGAAGAAGGCCUUCGGGUUGUAAACCGCUUUUAGCCGGGAAGAAAAGGCGCGGGCGAAUACCCCGUGUUUUUGACGGUACCGGCGGAAUAAGCACCGGCUAACUACGUGCCAGCAGCCGCGGUAAUACGUAGGGUGCGAGCGUUAAUCGGAAUUACUGGGCGUAAAGCGUGCGCAGGCGGUUCGUUGUGUCGGUGGUGAAAGCCCCGGGCUCAACCUGGGAAUGGCCAUGGAAACUGGCGAACUGGAGUGUGGCAGAGGGGGGUGGAAUUCCGCGUGUAGCAGUGAAAUGCGUAGAGAUGCGGAGGAACACCGAUGGCGAAGGCAGCCCCCUGGGCUAGCACUGACGCUCAGGCACGAAAGCGUGGGG
rnacentral:rRNA from 1 species